UGGUUUCUUACAUGAUUUUCCCAGCUGAUAGCUGAACUCUUACCUGCUGGUACAUGAAUUGUAACUCGCACAGGGGUCAUUGCAUUUUUAGUGCUGCUUCUUGGUAAAAUGUGUGUGUGUCAGCGGCUGGAAUGAGCAAGUAGAAGAGAAGAUACUGAAGAUUUUCAUAGACGUUUUUCUAUUAAACCUCUUACUUAAAUGUCCCUGAAGCUCCAGGCCCUGCCGCUUGUUUGGAAACCUCUUAGAGUUGCCUUCAUGAUUCUUUGUUAAGGUCUGGUGUGCAUCACCACGUGACCCCUGGAGGCUAGGGGUUGUCAUGUUCGCAUCGUGUGCUUGACUAAGUUUUUUUCUCCGUGCUUUGUUAUUUUUAAAAGAAUGCAGGAUGUUAGUCUGCUCACUAAUUGCUUUCACCGUCAAUAGGUGUCAUAAGCUUAAAGCUAAAAAUAGUCAGGAGAAGAAGGACAAGGAUGGCAAGGUGGGUGCUUCCAGCCUUUGUGCUUUCUCUGUAACGCUGAGCCAGUUGCAUCACUUGUGGCGUGGGCCAUCCUUCAACAGCUGGAGGCUGCUCACUGUCUUCCUCCUGCUGUUUAAAAGCAUUCCACCCAACGUUUGUCUGAAUAAGUUCACAAAGCGCUGCCGUAGUCUGGAAAAUGAAUGUAUCUGAGACAUCUAAAAUGUUUGCUAGUGGCUAUUUGGAAGCAUUCUGAUGCCUUUAAUUUGGUGUUAGAGCAGUGUUGGGUGAUCCCCAACUGUAGUGCAAGCGGUUCCGUAGUGGUAGGCUUGUGCCUGGGGCUAAAUUCCCCCGCAGGCUGCUCAGUGUCUGGUUUUGGACCUGCUUUGCAGCCUGUGCUGAAAAUUCAGUACAAAAAUCAGAGGUGAGGCGCUUUCAGAGCAUCAGGACCGUGUGCAACUUGAACUAAUGGAGUAGUUCAGUCCUAGAGGUCAGCCCCUGGAUGAAGCAGUGACUUCUUUAAAAAAGGAAGUUUUUAGGUCCCUGUUUGGGUCGUAUUUGGUGGUGGACUGACAUUUUGUUACUGCACUGAGGUGUCUGCUUGUUUUCACACCAGGCAUCCUCCUCCUGUUGAUGGUGAGCGUGGCUGCGAGCAGCAAGGGUGGCAGAGCUUGUUACUGAGGAUAAGCUGAGGAACCAAAAGCUUCUUGUAAAAGGCUGGCAGCGAAGCCAGCACCAGUUUUAUAACCAAAGUUACAUCACUGACUCUAAUGAGGCUCGUGUGCUCUCGGGAAGAGGUAUUCCCAUGUCUUUGUUGCUUAGCAGCAGGAGCCCCGCUGGCAGUGGAUUUGCACACCCAAAUCCUUUAGGUGCCUUUGAAAAUCUCCCUGAAGUUCUCACAUAGGUGGAAAGUCAUUAGUAGACACCUAGUGGGUUUUAGCUACAGCAGACAUCGUUUUGCUUCCUCGUGUGCGAUGUUUGCUUCCAGGAGCACCACAGAGGUUUGGGGUGCAGGCAGUGACCACCCACAGCUUCCUUGAGGUGGUCAGCCCGUGACCAAGCCUCAUCUCCCUCGGGACAUUGAGACCACAGGAAUGUUGGGUGGAGAGCUGUAGUUAUUCAGGGUGUUGAAACCCCAACCCACAACCCCUCCUGAGCCUCGGGAACCUGUGGUACAUUUGGUUUCAGAGAACAAUGAUUUAGUAGCAUCAUAAAUGCUAAAGGAUUGGCAAUCAUUGCUGCGGGAACUCAGCCGCCUUCUCAAAUUAAAGCCUUUGCACUUGGGAAGCAAAGGAUUGGCGUAGGAAGGAAACAUGGAUUUUAUUCUAAAUAUCCGUCUUCAUCUGCGAACAAUUUGGAGUGAAUGAAAAUAGCUUUUGCCUUGAAGCUGAUGGUGCUGAGCAGCUUAAUCAGCCUUCUGGUAAAUCACUACAAAUAAAGCUUGAAGGACCUCAGAGAUAUUUUUAGCCCAUCCUCUGCCUGCGGGUGGGAUGAACUCUGCCUGUCAGUCCUGACGCGCUUGUCCAACCUAUUCCGAAAGCCUCUGACAAUGGGGAUUUCACAAUCCUCCCAGGCAGUUCAUUCCAGUGUUUCACCCUCUGCCCUCUCAGACUCUUUUCUGCUGUCCAAGCGUUAUUUUCUUUGCUGUAGCUGAAGCCGUUGCUCCGGGUUCUGUCUGCACCGGGCUCAGAGGAGCCCUUACAGCAGCAUUUAUUGAGCUGCAGACCCUCACUUCUUCCCUUGCUUUUUUUCUCUUCUAGAUUUAAAUGAACCCAAUCCCUUCAGUCUUUCCUCACAGCCGCCUCGUUUAAAGGGAGCUCCUGAAUGGCUUCAGAUACAAUUUUCAUGGGUAAUAACGUGACCCAGGGAUGUGAGACACCAGUGAUUGGGCAGGAGGAGGGAGAAAGUGGAGCAGGAGCCGUAAUCGGAUGGAACUCGGCUGUGACAGGAGCCAGCCUCUUCUCGCUCUGCUUCUCCUUAGGAAGAGCACCAUCACCCCGUGCCAAGAUCUACAGCGCCUGUCUGAGCAGCUUCAGCUCCAUAUAAAGAAAGGGCGACUGAGCGAGGCACACGGUGUCGGGGAAGGAGACGCUGUCUUGUGGUGUUGCCAGAAAUACGAUGGUUGAUCACUUGUAAGUUUGAAUACAUUUCUUUUUUUCUUCACAUAAAAAAAAAGAAGUCGAGAAAAUAAAAAUAAACCGCACAUCUCUAUUGUAAAUUACAUGCAAAAAUAGGUUUAAAGCAGUCACUGGGGUCGUUACAAACCCACAGAGGCAAGAUACUCAAAUAUUGAGGGCGCUGCUGAACUCACCCGCCUGUGCUGCGCUGGGUGGGCACAACAGGGACACUCGAGCACAAAGCCUCACUCGAGCGCCUUCCCCUCAUUUUGAAUGUCUUGCUUUUGUGGAUUCAAGUCAAAACUUUAUUUCCACGGUGCUGGGCUGACCUUAGCACCAUUUGAAAAGGAGAAAAUAAUCCCACACCCCACCAUGGGCUUUCCCACAGAGAGCCCCACGGUGCCCGUAUUGACAAAUACGGCUCAAAUUCAGUUUAUUUUAGAGGGCAUUCUUUUGUAAAAAGAAAGAAUUCACGUCUAAGUUUCAGCAAAAAACAACAAAAAAAAGACGAGCAUUUUACCAAUGCUCAUGGUUUAAUAGAGGUCAGUGAAUUAUUUAGACACGCUAUUAAUUUUUCUGCAAAUAUAUAUAUUUCUAUCUUUAUAAAAUUACAGUUUCAUAUACCUACAAGCUCCUUCAUGAGCAACAAAGCCAUCAGAGGUGGGAUGAGCCCGGAUAAGCCGCCCCUGGGAACUGCACGUAAGCUAAGCGUUCGGUUAUUUAUUUGUUACCAUUAUUUGGGGGAAAGCGCCUGGUUAGAGAAUCUGGUUUUUUUCCCCAGUUUUAGCCCAUACAUUUUGUCUUCUCUCUCUCUCUCUCUCUCUCCUUUCUUUUUAAGGGUAAGCUUUUCCGAGGAACCAGGGGCUCUAACUCGCAUGGUACGUGGUGAAUGCUCGAGUCCCGCAGGCUCCUCUGCAAAUCCUCAGCCCCCAAAAGAGCAGACGCCGGCGCACCCUGAGCCGGGUGGAUGCCGAGCGGCCCUUCCCACGCACCCCAACACUUUUCCACUCCCCGGAGCCGCACGCUUGUCCUCCUGCCCUCCCACCCAGCGGGAUGGGGCGAGGAGGCACCUGCACAGCUUUGGGGUCUCAGGGCUGGUGGAGGAGCUGUUGGAGGAGCUGUUGGAACCUCUGUGGCCAUAAAUCGGUGAUACCCAUCCUAUAAACUCACCAUCUCCCGCCCCUUCCCUGCCCCAAAGAAACAAAACAACUAGCUGUAAUUUUUUACCAAGCUGCCUUUUACCUUUUAAAGACCGUUUUGUGGUCGGAAGGCAACUUGCCGACAGCCCUGGCUGGGUAGGUGCCACCUGGUCUCACGCACCCCAGUCCUCCUGCUCCAGCAUCACCCCAGGAAUCACUAUCGUGACUAUUCACUGUCGUGGUUAGCAGCACACUUGCAGCAGCGGAGCUCGGCCACGGUCCUGCUGCUCCCAAAGGGAAAACAAGAGUUUAUUUGAUAAUGGUUAUAGCAGAUACCAACUGGUGGGACCACCACCGGCCUCGUUGCUCCACCCACGCAUCCAGUGGCUUAUACUGACCUUUAGAAAAUAACUUACUAGGCUUUAAACUUGGCCGCAGCACAUGGAAAUUCAAUUUGUGGGCUAAAUGGUCCAC